AAAUUGAAGAGUUUGAUCAUGGCUCAGAUUGAACGCUGGCGGCAGGCCUAACACAUGCAAGUCGAACGGUAACAGGAAGCAGCUUGCUGCUUCGCUGACGAGUGGCGGACGGGUGAGUAAUGUCUGGGAAACUGCCUGAUGGAGGGGGAUAACUACUGGAAACGGUAGCUAAUACCGCAUAACGUCGAAAGACCAAA
rnacentral:rRNA from 1 species